GGAAGGCAGCAGGCGCGCAAAUUACCCAAUCCUAAUACAGGGAGGUAGUGACAAGAAAUAACAAUAAAGGACUUUUUGGUUUUGUAAUUGGAAUGAGUUAAGUAUAAACCCCUUUACAAGUAUCAAUUGGAGGGCAAGUCUGGUGCCAGCAGCCGCGGUAAUUCCAGCUCCAAUAGCGUAUAUUAAAGUUGUUGCAGUUAAAAAGCUCGUAGUUGGAUUUCUGUUAAUAAUUUAUAUAUAAUAUUUGAUUAAUAUUUAUAUAAUAUUAACAUAAUUCAUAUUACUAAAUUUAUUAGUAUAUGAAAUUUUACUUUGAGAAAAUUAGAGUGCUUAAAGCAGGCAUAUGCCUUGAAUACUCCAGCAUGGAAUAAUAUUAAAGAUUUUUAUCUUUCUUAUUGGUUAUAAGAAAAAAAUAAUGAUUAA
rnacentral:rRNA from 1 species